rnacentral:rRNA from 1 species
AGCGAACGCUGGCGGCAGGCUUAACACAUGCAAGUCGAGCGGGCAUCCUUGUGGUGUCAGCGGCAGACGGGUGAGUAACGCGUGGGAACGUGCCCUUCGGUUCGGAAUAACUCAGGGAAACUUGAGCUAAUACCGGAUACGUGCGAGAGCAGAAAGGUUUAUCUGCCGAAGGAUCGGCCCGCGUCUGAUUAGCUAGUUGGUGAGGUUAUGGCUCACCAAGGCGACGAUCAGUAGCUGGUCUGAGAGGAUGAUCAGCCACACUGGGACUGAGACACGGCCCAGACUCCUACGGGAGGCAGCAGUGGGGAAUAUUGGACAAUGGGGGCAAACCUGAUCCAGCCAUGCCGCGUGAGUGAUGACGGCCUUAGGGUUGUAAAGCUCUUUUCUUCGGGACGAUAAUGACGGUACCGGAGGAAUAAGCCCCGGCUAACUUCGUG